rnacentral:rRNA from 1 species
AGGAAUUGUGGGGGGAGCUCCCCCCUAGGGGGGACCUGCGGUUCAAUUGGAUUCAACGCCGGAGAACUCACCCAGGCCCACAUUUGGAUGAAAGCCAGGUUGACGACCUUGCCCGACUGGCUGAAAUGUGGUGCAUGGGCAUCGUCAGCUCUUACCGUGAGGCGUCCUGUCAAGUCAGGCAACAAGCGACAUCCUCGCCCUUAAUUGCCAUCGGUGGGAAAGGCGGGCACUCUAGGGGGACCGCUGGCGCUGACUCGGAGGAAGGAAAGGGCGAGGGUACGUCAGUAUGCCCCGAAUCCCCUGCGCUACACGCGGGUCACAAUGCGCAGGACAAAGAGAUGCAACCCCGUGAGGGGAAGCCAAACCCAUAAACCUGCGCUCGGUUCGGAUCAAGGGCUGUAACUCCCCCUCGUGAAGCUGGAAUCUCUAGUAAUCCCGUGCCAACACCGCGCGGUGAAUGCGUCCCUGCUCCUUGCACACACCGCCCGUCAAGCCACUCGAGUGGGGUUUGGAUGAGGUCAGCUCAAGUUGGGUUGCUCGAAUCCGAGUUCUGCACUAGGGGCUAACUCGUAACAAGGUA